GUAUGGUUAAGUGACUAAGCGUACACGGUGGAUGCCUUGGCAGUCAGAGGCGAUGAAGGACGUAUUAACUUGCGAUAAGCCCAGAUUAGGCAGUAAAAGCCACUUGAGUCUGGGAUUUCCGAAUGGGGAAACCCAACUGCAUAAGCAGUUACUGUUAACUGAAUACAUAGGUUAACAGGGCGAACCGGGGGAACUGAAACAUCUAAGUACCCCGAGGAAAAGAAAUCAACCGAGAUUCCGAAAGUAGCGGCGAGCGAAAUUGGACUAGCCCUUAAGCUUUACACGCGUUAGACGAACGGUCUGGAAAGUCCGACGAUACAGGGUGAUAGUCCCGUAGUUGACGACGUGUGUUCAGUGAAAUCGAGUAGGGCGGGACACGUGAUAUCCUGUCUGAAUAUGGGGGGACCAUCCUCCAAGGCUAAAUACUACUGACUGACCGAUAGUGAACCAGUACCGUGAGGGAAAGGCGAAAAGAACCCCUGUGAGGGGAGUGAAAUAGAACCUGAAACCGUGUACGUACAAGCAGUAGGAGCAGGCUUUGUCCUGUGACUGCGUACCUUU
rnacentral:rRNA from 1 species